rnacentral:lncRNA from 1 species
GCAAACGCACGCAACCCUCAGGCCUCAGCUCGCCACCACACACACAGAACGCGUGUGCUCCUGCCUUCCUGAUCGAGCAACGAGCUAGCUACCUAGCUUGAGGACGACACGACACGAUGGCCUUGCAGGUCACCGGCGGAGUGGGCUGCUGCUGCCCUCGUCCUCAACCGGGCUGUGGCGGCCGGCGGUUGGCGCAGGCGGCGGCGGCGCUCUGUCGCCCGCCCCGCGCUGUAGCGUCGUCCGGCACGACCACGACGGUGGUGGAGGAGGACGAGGGCAAGGUGAGGCUGGGCGGCUCAAGCGUCGCCGUCACCAAGCUCGGCAUCGGCGCGUGGUCCUGGGGCGACACCACCUACUGGAACGACUCCGAGUGGGACGGUACGUACGUGGGAAUUCACCUCCGGCCUGUUGCGCGCUCCUGUGUUUCUUGUUCUCGUUCUCAUUCUUGCUCGGGGGUGCGGACGUCAACGACGUUUCCUGAAAUCCUGGUCAUAAUAUGGGCGGCGCCAGGGGUAUGCCCCUAUAUUCCAUGGAAUACCAUGAUUUGACAAACACACACAUGUAUAAUCAGCAUGUAUGUUAGUUUGUUGAAUAUUGUAAAUAUGUAGUCCAUAAAAGCAACUCCAAUAGUCUGGCUAGAAUUAAUUGUCAAAUUCUAUUGUUUAGCUAUUUUGUCGAAUAGAAAAAUUCUAAAAAAAUAAGAGAUCUACAACAAUCUUGUUAUUUUACAAAGUCUUACAGUUAGCGUCUGUAAUAAGCUAUAUAUAGCCACCGAAAAUAAAGAGAAAGCCAACUUCCUAUUUUAUAAAAUUAGAUAGCAUAUUUUUAGUUGGAGUCUACUUUUUGCUAUACAAAUUCUGAAAUAGCAUAAACAACAAGAAUAGUUAAACUCUUGAAGUUGCUCUAAGCCUAGUAGAACAACUAGUAGCGGCAGCCCAUGAACUCAUCAGAAAGAAACCCAUCGACGGCAUUCCUCUAGCGGCGGCGGUCAGUGGUCUCUAUAGGCUUUCUCAUAUACAGCUCCCCCUCAACGUCUUUCUCACAUAGGGCCUUUCUCAUAUACGGUUUGAAGCAACAACAAGGUGACCACAAAGAUCCCAUAUCUAUUUUUUAUUCUUCAAAGUAAGAAUUGAAGGUUUCGUUUUCUUCUUUUUUUGUUGCGUUGUGAUUUUUUAAAGAAAUAUUGCAUUGUGUUCUUGUAACAUAGAUAAAGAAUUUAUAUAUACUUUGUUUAUUACCAGGGGCGACACUAGGCUCACUUUGCCUGAUGCCAGCGACGGAGCCAACGGUGGGGCUGGUGGGGCUCCAGCCCCCCUAUGGCCGUAGAACCCAUGUAGGCCCCCCUUAGCCCCUCCUACAAAUUUUUAUCAUUGAUACUCUUAAAGAAGGGGCUGAAAUUAUCUUAAGGUAGCAGAAGCCUCUCCUAAAUAUUUUUCUAGAUUCGUCACUGCCUGAUGCCUUGUUACUAGGAUAAAUAAAUAUUUUGUCUAGCAUAUAUUUUAAGAAAAUUAUAUGUACUACUUGAGCUGUGCACCAGAAUCAAUUCUGUAUUGAUUUUGUCCCCUAUUACUAUUGCACAUAUGCGUUGAAAAUUUUUUAUACAUGGAAUAGCCAGCUGUGAAAUCCUGGCUCCGCCACUCCACAUGCCUUCCCGUGCGCACAAUAAUCUGCCCGUUGCAUUGCCAGCAAUGAAUCGUACGUGCAUGUUGUGUGUGUAACUUGCACGCAUGAUGUGUCAGCACUUCAAGGAAAACGAAAUUGGCAUGCUCUCCAAUCCCUUGUCUU